rnacentral:misc_RNA from 1 species
CAGGGCGAAUGACGCUAAUGACGCUUAAUUGUUAGAGACAAUAAAAAUAAUUAAAUUACUUAUUCAAAAUGAUUUCUCAAACUUUUAGGAGUGCAUUUCGUUUCCUAAAAAGUCAUCGAACUCGAAUAUUAUGUAUGCACAUUCGACAAUUAUCAUUUGAAACGCUUCGUUUUAGAAAGCCAAUUUUUUUUACACCUGGAUUAUCAUUAGGUUUAUGGGGUUUUGCCAAGAAAGAUGGUUCAAGUAAUGAUUUACGAAUUGAAAAAGCUGGUAUCAUAGCUAAAGCUGAUGCUCUCUAUGAAAAUGGUGAAUAUCAGAAACUGUAUGGAAUCCUAAAUAAUUAUAGAAAUAGUCAUGAUGAUGAAAUAUUAUGGAGGUUAAGUCGAGCUGUAUACAGUUUGGCUAAAACAGCUAGUGAUUCUGAAGCUAAAAAAAUGUUCAAUGAUGCUUAUGAUAUAAUUACUGAAGCUUUAUCUAUCAAUCCUAACAAUUGGGCUGUACACAAGUGGAUGGCGGUUAUAAUUGACAAGAAAUCAAGUUAUGAUGGUAUGAAAGCAAGAAUCAAAGAAUUAAAUCGCGUCAAGGAGCACAUGCUGAAAGCAUCUGAAUUAAAUCCUAAUGAUGCUACUGUACUUUAUAUGCUAGGGCAUUGGUGCUAUUCAGUGUCUGAUCUUGCUUGGUAUCAACGAAAAAUAGCUUCUACAAUUUUUGGCAAAGUUCCUGAUUCAUCGUUUGAAGAAGCUCUGCAAUAUUUUAAAGCUGCUGAAAAAGUAGAACCCAUGUUCUACGGUGAUAAUCUUCUGUUCCUGGGAAAAACGUAUUUGAAGCUGAAUCAAAAAGAUGAAGCAAUUAAAUAUUUGAAGAUGGCUGCUGAGUAUCCAGCCAAGAAUGAUGAUGAUCACAAGGCUAAACAGGAGGCAACGAAGAUUCUAGGAACUUUACAUUAAUUGAAGGAAGGGUUGGAGAAAAAAAAAAAAUAUUAAGUGAACGUGGCCUUGCCGAUGGAACAGAAGAAAACUAUGCAGUGGAUAAAGCUCUGGUGCUGAAUGUCGCAUACAACAUAAAUUGGCUCUGCAUUGCGACAUACCGAGGACGAAACAGAUACUUAUCUUGUGGAGUCUUAUAAAUCAGGAAAUGAUUUUGAACAGAGUUGAUUUAGACUUUAGCAUGAGAUAAAAGUUAAAAGUGUUGCUUCUAAUAUGGAGAUUCUUAGGAAGGAUAAUGUCAUCGACUUUACAUUAAUGUUUUGUCUUAUCAAUUUUUAAAAAUUCUCUCUACACACAGAGGUCUUAUCCGUUUCAAAUAACUGGAUUGGCCCACACUUGGUGUGUCGAUACACCUACCUGUAACUCCUUCCAGGGAAUCAAUAAGUGCGUGUGUUCCAAUAGAUAUUUUUUUUUUUUAAUUUAUUUUCUAUCUUUCAUGGGCUAUCUAAGACCUCUUUUGAAUUGACUCU